UGGGGAAUAUUGGACAAUGGGGGCAACCCUGAUCCAGCCAUGCCGCGUGAGUGAUGAAGGCCCUAGGGUUGUAAAGCUCUUUUGUGCGGGAAGAUAAUGACGGUACCGCAAGAAUAAGCCCCGGCUAACUUCGUGCCAGCAGCCGCGGUAAUACGAAGGGGGCUAGCGUUGCUCGGAAUCACUGGGCGUAAAGGGUGCGUAGGCGGGUCUUUAAGUCAGGGGUGAAAUCCUGGAGCUCAACUCCAGAACUGCCUUUGAUACUGAAGAUCUUGAGUAUGGGAGAGGUGAGUGGAACUGCGAUUGUAGAGGUGAAAUUCGUAGAUAUUCGCAAGACCACCAGUGGCGAAGGCGGCUCACUGGCCCAUAACUGACGCUGAGGCACGAAAGCGUGGGGAGCAAACAGG
rnacentral:rRNA from 1 species